UACGGAGGGUGCAAGCGUUAUCCGGAUUCACUGGGUUUAAAGGGCGCGUAGGCGGUGCGGUAAGUCACCUGUGAAAUCUCCUGGCUCAACUGGGAGCUUGCAGGCGAAACUGCCGUGCUGGAGUGUGGGAGAGGUGCGUGGAAUUCCUGGUGUAGCGGUGAAAUGCGUAGAUAUCAGGAGGAACACCUGUGGCGAAAGCGGCGCACUGGACCACAACUGACGCUGAGGCGCGAAAGCUAGGGGAGCAAACAGG
rnacentral:rRNA from 1 species